rnacentral:rRNA from 1 species
AUUGAACGCUGGCGGCAGGCCUAAAACAUGCAAGUGGAACGAGUGGCGGACGGGUGAGUAAUGUCGGGGAAACUGCCUGAUGGAGGGGGAUAAAUAAUGGAAACGGUAGCUAAUACCGCAUACCAUCAGAUGUGCCCAGAUGGGAUUUGCUAGUUGGAGGGGUAACGGCUCACCAAGGAAACGGUCCCUAGCUGGUCUGAGAGGAAGACCAGCCACACUGGAGCUGAAACACGGUCCAGACUCCUACGGUAGGCAGCCGUGGGGAAUCUUGCACAAUGGGCGCAAGCCUUCUGCAGCCAUGCCGCGUGUAUGCAGACGGCCUUCGGGUUGUAAAGUACUUUCAGCGGGGAGGCUUUACCCGCAGAAGAAGCACCGGCUAACUCCGUGCCCGCAGCCGCGGUAAUAC